CCUACGGGAGGCAGCAGUAGGGAAUAUUGCUCAAUGGGGGAAACCCUGAAGCAGCAACGCCGCGUGGAGGAUGAAGGUUUUCGGAUUGUAAACUCCUUUUGUUAGAGAAGAUAAUGACGGUAUCUAACGAAUAAGCACCGGCUAACGCCGUGCCAGCAGCCGCGGUAAUACGGAGGGUGCAAGCGUUACUCGGAAUCACUGGGCGUAAAGAGCGCGAAGGCGGGACAGCAAGUCAGAUGUGAAAUCCUAUGGCUUAACCAUAGAACGGCAUUUGAAACUGUUAUUCUAGAGUAUGGGAGAGGUAGGUGGAAUUCUUGGUGUAGGGGUGAAAUCCGUAGAGAUCAAGAGGAAUACUCAUGGCGAAGGCGACCUGCUGGAACAUAACUGACGCUGAUGCGCGAAAGCGUGGGGAGCAAACAGGAUUAGAUACCCCUGUAGUC
rnacentral:rRNA from 1 species